CCCUACGGGGUGCACCAGUGAGCAUCGUACCGUUGAGAUUGCCCUCGUGGACAUAUAUGCUACGAGAGAUCUGCUCCAUCGCAGAGGAUGCCAGCACCCUACAGCAUCCUAUCAAAAACGCUACCAACAAGCGAAGCGCCUUCAUUGUAUGUACCUCUUUAGAUCUGAUGGUCCAUAAUCGAUUUCAAGGGCGGCUUUGCCUGGAAAUAAUUCUCCAUCAAAGGUCUGGGUGUUUUUUUGUGCCAGUCUUUCAUGUGCCAGUCUUUCAUUAUGGACUUCAUCGGUUUCUUUGCUGGAGCCAAUCCAUGCGGCGAGCCUGGUAAUAUCGACCUCAAAUCCCUCGGGCUAUUUGGAUCAGCGGGGCCUAUGCCGAAUUCCCCAACACCAGGAGC
rnacentral:rRNA from 1 species